UAUGCCCACUUUUUUUUUUUUAUUUCUUAUUGAUUAUGUAUUUAAUACAAUUGUGUCUAUUUUUCAUAUGGAUGGUGACACCAUUUUUAUGUACUGUAAGCAACAAAUAUAUCAAGAUAACCAUUAAAGUUCAAAAUCAUGAAUAAAAGAAAAGUAAAAAGAAUAAGAAACAGCUAUAUGCUUGAAGAAUAGAAACAGAUCGAGAGGGAUCUGAUUCAUCCACGUGUCAAAGACCCAACACCUCUGGAAAUCUCAUGCACGCCAGGGCUGAACCCCAAGCAACCCAAUAGCCCUUGCUUGUAAGGCAAAAAGGUUUUCCUUUUCAUCUCCUCUGAAACUGCUCUGUUCACCGUGUAGUGUAAUUCGUGAGCCGAUACAGGAGCUCUUCUCCUGGAGGAGCCACCCAGACUGCCAUCUGUGGAUCGAAAACUGGCAUUCUUGACGUCCUCUGCUACCUCCUUUUUGGACAAGACUGCAUAUUUUGUCAGUGGGUCUUUUCCUGUUGCUCUUCCCUCUGAUGCACUUCUGAAUAGCAAGAAAUCCUUGAGUUUCCAUUUCUUAUAACCUUUCGAUGAAAAAGAUAUAGCGGACAAGAAAGAAGAUGCAUAUGAGGAGGUGGAGGAUGAUGAUGAUUUGGGAUUGCUGCUUGUUGGAGUGACUAUUUUCGCAUCCUGGGAAUUCUCCUCUUCUUGAUCGAGCAUGAGAUCGGAGACUCUUAAAGGAGACAAAGAUCUGCUUCCUUUAUGCACAUAAUUCGAAGACUUGGAAGCUGAAGAAGAAGAACCCGGGAUGGUUCUUUCUCUUCCACGUUGCUGUGAUGCAUGCUUUCUUUGUUGCUGUUGUUUUUGUUCCUGAUUUUGUUGCUGUUUAGCUUCACUUCUUCUUGUUUCUUCUAUGGCAGCUUGAAAAGGGUCAAAUUCUUUCUUCUGUUUAGUUCUUGAUCUUGGUGACCUGGGAGAAGAAACUGAAGAAUCAUAACCAGGCGGUGGCUUCAAAGGCCGGAUCUUGCCUCCAUCGAAGAGCUCAUCAGCAGAUAAAGAAGUCCUGUCUAACUGACCACUAAAACUGAACUCAAAAUCACCAUCAUCAUCAAAAUCUUGAUGACUAUAACCAUUCUUGCGGCUGAAAUUACCUUCACUUCCAUUUCUUGAUUUGGGAGUUCCAGGCUUCGCUUCCCAAUCAAAAGGAAUGGAAGAAGAAGAAUUAGUGACAAGAGAAACAUCAUUAAGCUCCCGGUAGAAAGAUGAAACACGAGUGGGGCUAGCAGGGGCACUGAAGAAGAAGUUGCCAAAUCUCUGAGGACUGGAAGGAGCAGUCGCGUAAGGAGAAGAACAAGUACUAUCAAAGUUGAACUCUACCGGCGGCACUGGCGCCACCACUUCCAUUUCCAUUGAAAGGAGGGUGACGAAUUUGUAUGGAUUGUGCAGGUGAGGGAUUGGUUGAAUAGUGGAGUUUAUAGAGAGAGGAGGAGGAGGAAGGAGGGUGGAGAGGGAUAGAGUGGUGGUGAUGAUGAUGGUUAUGGUUGAGAUUGAGAUGAGAAUUUAGCGCGAAACGCGAGAACCACGCGGAUUUUGGAGAAAAU
rnacentral:misc_RNA from 1 species